UACCAGCACCCCGAGUGGUCGGGACGAUUAUUGGGCCUAAAGCAUCCGUAGCCGGUUCUGCAAGUCCCCCGUUAAAUCCAGCUGCUCAACAGAUGGGCCGCGGAGGAUACUACAGAGCUAGGAGGCAGGAGAGGCAAGCGGUACUCAGUGGGUAGGGGUAAAAUCCGUUGAUCCAUUGAAGACCACCAGUGGCGAAGGCGGCUUGCCAGAAUGCGCUCGACGGUGAGGGAUGAAAGCUGGGGGAGCAACC
rnacentral:rRNA from 1 species